ensembl:lncRNA
CUCCCACUUCUUGGCCCUGGCGUUCCCCUGUACUGGGGCAUAUAAACUUUGCAAGACCAAGGGGUCUCUCUUCCCAAUGACGGCCAACUAGGCCAUUUUCUGGCUGUCAUUCUUAUUACUACCUUAUUACUUACCAGGCUUUCCCCCUGCUUCGUGCCUGAAGCUGCGCUAUUAGUACUUUUAGUUUAUUUUAGUCUUUAGGGAGGGUUUCACUCUAUACUUGUAGCUGGCUUCAGUCUCACACACAUGCAGCGAGCUGUGCCUCCCCUUUGCUGGGAUAAAAGGCAUGUCUUACCACGCGCAGCCAUGUUUAUUACACUUGAAUGACUUGGCCUCUUUAUUUAUACUGGCAAUGUUGUGUCCCCAGUCUGUCUCGAUUAUCAAAUCAACCUGAGUCUUCAUUACGGUCACUCGUAAUCUUCUAGAGUACUGAACUUUAACAUAUUUUCUGUAGUUGAUACUCGGUUGAGUCUGACUUGUUUUCAAAUCCUCCUUGUUUUCAUCCUUCAACGUGAGGUAAAUUACUGUCUAACGGACACGGCUCAGUUGAAACCUUCUGAUGUGUUCCUCACUCACCGUUUUCUAUCUAGGUAACAGGGACCCUGAACUCAGGGAGGGUCCAGAACACCUGGCUGUCUGAAAUCGCUGAUGUAAACUAUCCACGUUUAACACCAACAAUUCUUUAGUUCAGUCUUUCCAAAUUUACCAUAGUCCCUACCAGGUCACAGCGAGGUGGAAUCCCACUCAGUGGGACUCAAGUCACUUAUAUCCCAUUCUGAUCUUACUUCCUGUUCUGCUUGUCAGUCCGCUCCAGGGAAGAGAAAAAUCAGUGGCGCGCAGAAGCGGAAGUACCUUUUGAGCACCACGCGGGAGCUUUUAAAGGCUGUGCCUUUUUGGAAAAAUCCCUGACACCACCCGGCGCAGCUCCCAGGUGGGCUGGUCCCAGUAGCAUGCUCGGAUCGCCCUGAACCUCUGAGCUCUGGGCUUCCCGGAGUUCCGCCGCAAGGACUACAUUUCCCAGGGUCCACCGCGCCGGAAGUAACGGAUCGAAUUCCGGUGUCGUGUAUCGCUCCCUUGAAAAGUCAGGUUUUUCUCGUAGGUGGAAGAAAUCGCUCUAUGGCCUACGUCCUCACAGACACAGUGCUGCACAUCCAACCUCUGCCAUUCAAACCGCAUUGUCCAGCGUUUCACUGUUCCAAUGAGACGACAGGGUCAGAUCCCACGUGAGUGACGGUGAGAGGAAGCCUGAAGAAGAAUGGCCAGCUCUAAUUCUCAAGACAUGGUCUGUGUAAGUUGACAGUUUUCUCUUUAACAUAGGGUGACUUCAGGUUAUGUGACUCCUGCCCUCUUUCCCUCUCGAAGCUUCCCAAGGAUCCGGAUUCCCCCAGCC